GACGAACGCUGGCGGCGUGCUUAACACAUGCGAGUCGAACGGAAAGGCCUCUUUCGGGGGGUACUCGAGUGGCGAACGGGUGAGUAACACGUGAGUAACCUGCCCUUGACUUUGGGAUAACUUCAGGAAACUGGGGCUAAUACCGGAUAGGAGCUCCUGCUGCAUGGUGGGGGUUGGAAAGUUUCGGCGGUUGGGGAUGGACUCGCGGCUUAUCAGCUUGUUGGUGGGGUAGUGGCUUACCAAGGCUUUGACGGGUAGCCGGCCUGAGAGGGUGACCGGCCACAUUGGGACUGAGAUACGGCCCAGACUCCUACGGGAGGCAGCAGUGGGGAAUAUUGCACAAUGGGUGGAAGCCUGAUGCAGCAACGCCGUGUGCGGGAGGACGGCCUUCGGGUUGUAAACCGCUUUCGCUCAUGACGAAGCUUUGUGUGACGGUAGUGGGUAAAGAAGCACCGGCUAACUACGUG
rnacentral:rRNA from 1 species